CAGGAGUCCCAACAGGAGUCCCAACAGGAGUCCCAACAGGAGUCCCAACAGGAGUCCCAACAGGAGUGCAAACUACAUAAGAAUACACAAGAAUAAACACUGAUGUGCAUGAAUGUGACUUAAAGGUUUGUGUUGUUUUCUAUAGGCUCACCACAUUCCACUGGAAUGUCCCGCCCUAUGGAGAGGCGACCCUGAAGAUCUGGUUCCACUCCCAAGUCCCUGUCAAGUUUGACAAAACACUGAAUUUUGAGUUGUUGGGUACCAAGAUAUGUUUCAAAAUGUACUGUGGGGGAAUCUAUACAUAUCUAUCCAUCAGCAGAAACACAAAGAUGGUAUUUGCCCACAGGAAGAGAGUCCUUUGCUGAAGCGUUGCAGAAGAGCUACAUCAUCCGCUCUGUCCUCUAUGAGUUUGGCCCACUGCUCUGUGGCAAGACCACAGAUAGGUAUAUAGAGGAAGUAUCCAGAGAACAUGGAAAGGUUGGUGAUACACAACAACACCCCACUGGAUGCUGAGAUUCACUUCUUCUUCCAGCAUGACACCAAGGCUGCCACCUACCAACUGGACCCUCCCAACAUGACCCUUAAACCCAACGAGAGACAAGAAGCCAAUCAGAACUACUCAUGACAUCAUAGAAUGUAGUCUGAGAUGUCGGAUUAGUCAGAACCCUGACUGUGUGACACAAACUUACCUAGAAGUUAUGACUGUUCACUGAUAUUAUCAGUGAACAUUCUCACGCCCAUUUACUUUUGUUCUCGUUUUGAAACUCCAAUGAUCCAUGGUUGUGCCCUGGCAGAUAGAAGACAGUGUGGUGUAUCAAAGAGAACCCAGAGCCAGCAUUUCUGUUGUGGGGUCCAUCCCGAGCUUGAAUGCAAGCAGCUGCAUUUUGAAAAUAAUUCAUUAACAUUACCCAGAACUGCUGUAUCGUUUUUAAACCUGCUUCAGUAACAAAGUAGGAGAUUUGUUUUUGUCAUGGUAGUUUUCUGUUGAUUUUCCUUUCGCCACUCUACUACAUUCUCCCUGUGCUGGUUGUGAACCUCAGGAAGAACACAAGGAGUCUGUACCUGCGUAACAACACGCUGCUGCCUGUAGCCUGGAGGCUAGAGGUGCUGGGGGAUGAGUUCAGUGUUUCCCAGGACCAGGGCAUCAUACUUAGGGAUCCUUGGGGUGUCCCUACCCAAACCCCUAACCCUAAACUUAACCCCUACCCUUAUUCAAACCAUAACCUUAACCAUAACCCUGACCUACCCCUAACCUUAAUUCUUACCUUAACCAUUUUAAAUUUCAACUUCAAAGGGGUAGAGAAGCCCCAAGGAUCCCGGAUAGCAUGGACCCUUGUCUCAAGCCAGAUUGCGCGAUUGCCGUCUGCACUGAUCGGUUGAGGAACGAGCGUUGCGUAGGAGUGACGCCAUCUGACAUGAGACAAUGGCCCAUCAACCUAAAGAGAGCCAUAUGCCUCGAGGUACAUUACUGGAUGAUGAUUGAUUUGUUGUUUGGUAUCGACUGUUGCAUUAUUCCUGUUUACCUCAUAUUGUUGUUGUGUGACAUUCUGUCUGUGUUGCCGUGUGUGUUAUGUGCCUGAUGUGAGGAACAGACAGCCCCCAGGUCUGCUUCUCUACAUAGGUGGUCCACCUCCAUGUAGACUGUACCAAGGAGGUGACCGUGGCCUUCUGCUCAGAGCCGCCCAUAGUACUGACUGCCCAGCCUAUCAAGUGUAAGCUGUGCAGGGUGGUGUUCCAGCAGGAGGUGGACCAGGUGCCAGACUGGGACGACCGCCUCAGGACCAUCAUGUGGGUUGAGUCUGGGAAACAGGCGGGUAGUCAACAGUCUGCAAAGAAGAAGUUCAAGUCACACAGGCUUACUAAAAAGGCUACCUUUUUGUGACUGUAUUUAUUGUUUAUCAUCAUGACCCAUGCAGGGAGGAUAUUUGCUGACUACUCAGACUCCUUGCUCUGGUCAAAUGCUACACCACGCCCACAGACAUCAGUUUCUCCACAAUCAGUCUGGAUCUGAGUACCUCCCCAAUGAUUUCUGGAAUGUAAACACAUUCUAUCUGUUCUGAUUGGUCCCAGAAACCCAUGGGUUGGGUCAGAGCCAGGGUAAAGCAGCGUUUUGAAAAUAUGUCAUUAGCUUUAAUACUCUGAUUGGUUCGAGAUGAUCCAAUUGCUGAUGACUGUUUUCUACAACACCCCUUAUUUUGACGUUACCACAAAUUACUUCAAGGGUGUGGCUGUCUCAGAAUUAAAUAUGUUGCGAACAAACGGCGGAAGAAUUCCUUUUGAGUCGUCAGGCAAGGGAUGAGAGGCCAUUGUAUUUUAAUUACAGUAACUAGUGAAGUAAAUUGAGUGUGCUCUGUCUGUCCCCAUCGGCUCUGUCUGUCCCCAGGCAACUCUCCUCAUCAGGUGGACUUCAAACGGGGGAGAAAUGUGGGCUUCAAAGCUUAAGACUCAGACAGAAAGGCUAAUUAUACACUUAACUCCUCAUAAUGCAAAUUCACAGCUACCUUUUCACUCCUUUGCUUUGUCUGAAGUUUUAUAAUGACAUCCCUUCCCCCUGCAGAAGUGUGUGCUCAAAGACAUGGGCCUCAACAUCAAGAUUAAGAAUGGGCGUUCAGUUGUUCCAUCCUGGACUCAGCUGGCCUGGAUUUCUCCUUCCCCAAAGACACCUUUGUAAUUGGCUUCAUCUACGAUGCAGGGAUGGUGCCAGCUACACAGACACUGAUCAUAAGCAACAACAGAGAGAGGGGCAUCAGAAAUAAAUUAAACCACCUGCGGGCCGCCAGUUGGGGAACCCUGGUGUAGAUUGUCAGUUCUCUAACACCCCGUUUUUGGAGGCGGGGUUCCAGACGGAAGUGCUGCCCCCUGGUGGGUCCAUGGCGGUGCCCAUCACCUUCUACCCAUAGGAGGCAGUGCAAUACCAUGAGCGAGUGGUCUUUGAGAUCAAUGACUGUGUCGAGCAGGUGGUCGAGACCCUAGGUCAAGGAAUUGAGAUGAAGGUUGACUUUGAGGACCCCAGACACAAGGUGGUGAAUCUGGGGGCUCUGCAGAUUGGUCAGAAGAUCAGGAGGGUGAUUCCCCUGGUGAACAACAGCCACUCCUCUCUGACCUCUCCCUUCUGCUCAGCUCCACUGUACACACUCUGCUUGACUCCAGGGUACUGUACGCCUCUCAGAACCACCUCAACAUCACUGUCACUGUGUCCUCUCUCUGAAAGGCAAGCCAUAUGGCUACCUCGACCUGGCAAGUAGUACAGUAGCUACAUUAAUGGAUGUUUUGCUCAGAAUGUAGCUAUAAAGAUAACACAGUUGAGAGUUGUCAUACUAGUUUAGUUCUACCUGUGUGAGUGAGUGUGAUGAGACAUGUAUUGCUCUCCUGUACCGUCGGUGCUGUCAGUGAACCCGCCAGGUGAGGUGACCCUGAAGCCUUUUGGGGGCCUCUAUUUGGUGGAGGUGCUAUUCUCUCCCAUGUAGCGCAUGGCUCCCUUCACCUCAGAGCUGCAACUUGAGUAUCUGGGCACGGUACCCCCGCUGCUGGUGCUGAAUGGCUGCUGUCAUGACAUGGAGGUCAAGCUGGACCAGGACUACCUGCCCUUUGGAGCUGUUGCUCAGCGCUGCAAGGCCAUAAAACGCAUCAUGUGGAACACUGGAGAAAUUGGAGCCAGGACUCUGUGUUCUUCUUCCCAGAUGUGACAGGCAUACUCUACACUCUGCAUGGCACUUCUGAGGCCCUCAAAGUACAUUGAGACAGGGCCUGUCCACAACUGGCACUCCAACCCUCAGCAGUACCACACUACUACUUUAGCAGGAUGCCUAUCAGCUGUUUAACACCUUGUAAUGACACUGCUUCU
ensembl:lncRNA